UACGUAGGGACCGAGCGUUGUCCGGAAUUAUUGGGCGUAAAGAGCGUGUAGGCGGUCCGGUAAGUCGGCUGUGAAAGUCCAGGGCUCAACCCUGGGAUGCCGGUCGAUACUGCCGGACUAGAGUUCGGAAGAGGCGAGUGGAAUUCCCGGUGUAGCGGUGAAAUGCGUAGAUAUUGGGAGGAACACCAGUGGCGAAGGCGGCUCACUGGACCGGAACUGACGCUGAGACGCGAAAGCGUGGGGAGCAAACAGG
rnacentral:rRNA from 1 species